GACGAACGCUGGCGGCGUGCUUAACACAUGCAAGUCGAACGAUGAAGCCGGAGCUUGCUCUGGUGAAUUAGUGGCGAACGGGUGAGUAACACGUGAGUAACCUGCCCUUGACUCUGGGAUAACUGCGGGAAACUGUAGCUAAUACCGGAUACGACCCUCGGAGGCAUCUCCUGGGGGUGGAAAGAAUUUCGGUCAAGGAUGGACUCGCGGCCUAUCAGCUAGUUGGUGAGGUAAAGGCUCACCAAGGCGACGACGGGUAGCCGGCCUGAGAGGGUGACCGGCCACACUGGGACUGAGACACGGCCCAGACUCCUACGGGAGGCGGCAGUGGGGAAUAUUGCACAAUGGGCGCAAGCCUGAUGCAGCAACGCCGCGUGAGGGAUGACGGCCUUCGGGUUGUAAACCUCUUUUAGCAGGGAAGAAGCGAAAGUGACGGUGCCUGCAGAAAAAGCACCGGCUAACUACGUGCCAGCAGCCGCAGUAA
rnacentral:rRNA from 1 species